UGCCGGCUCCGGCGGUGAUGGAUCACCGUUUCAGUGGCAUUUAAAUCCCCGGCGCUCCUCUGUCUAGGUGACGCGCAGCAGCCCCCCCAGGCAGCCCAGGCGGCCGCAGCAGCUGCAGCGGCUGCAACGACAGAUUCCGAGCGCUGGGGCGAAGGGAGCAGAGGCUGCCUUCUGCGCGCCCCCCUCCCCCCAGGAGGUGGGAGCUGGGAGGCAUCCCCCGCCUCCGCCCCCUCCCCACCACGCUCWGAAAGAUGAACUGGCAAGAGGUUUCAUGUCAACCUCGGGCUUGUGGAGAAAAAAGGCCAAGCAGAGACUGAAAACUGAUGCAUUCUUAAGCAGAAGUCCAGAGAUCAUCUAAGAAGCUUUACAACCAAAGCUGCAUAGAUUUUACUUUGACAUGUUUGUGACAUUGGAUCGGAGAGAUGAAAUUAAUAGUGAGGAUUAUAGAAAGAGAAAGAGCGAGGAGGAGACAAAACGCCGCCCAGGCCCCGGAGCCGCUCAUGGCAUCCGCGGCUCAGCCAAGCUGUUGUUUUAAAAGAGCAAUAAAAAUGAAUUAUGACUGAACGCCUUCUAACUUAAUGCUUUCGGACGGGGAUCCCCGGCAAAUACGACGAAUCGCAUCCAGGAGCGGCGCAGCCCUGGCCGCAGCCCGGACGCCUUGCUCGGCGCUAAGCCUGAGCCUAGGUCCGGAAGCCUGCCACAAACGCCACAGGCCGCUGCUGCUGCUGCUGCUGCUGCUGCUGCUGCUGCUACUACUGCUGGGAUUUAGCGGGUGAAGAGGUGACAGAAAGUAGGGAGCAAACCCAUGAGGAAAGAUCACGAUUUUAUUCUAACUUCCAAGCCUUUGCUGUUAAGAGCAGGGUUCUUAAAUCAACCGGCCCAACACACACGUGUUGCUGCGCUUUCUCACGGUCUGUUUUGCCUGAACCCAUCAACAGCUGGGAGAUUAAUCAACCACUCUGAAAAUGUACGGGGGAUUUGUGGGGGAGGGGUUGGAAUGUAGAUGUUUGGAACCAAUGUGUAUAAAUAAAUGAAUUGUUGAUAACUUAUUGACCUAGUAGCUUGUUAAAGAAACCCAGAGUUGCUCAUUCCUAGAGCUGGGGUUUCAGUAGGCACUUUAUUUCUCCACCUUCAAAAGCUUGAGCUUGCCCAACUCUUAGGCUGCCCAAUCCUGUUUCUAUUACUAAUUUAAAUUUAUGGCUUGAGCCACUACACUGAAAGCCAAAUCCAUU